GCUUAACCACGUUCCCUAAUGAUGAAUGGGCACGGCCCUUUGAAAUACUGAAAUACACAUCACAAAGAUCCCCUCGGAUCUCUGCACCCACCUCCUGUCACCGCCCUACCUGAUACUCCAUGUCGUAGCUGGGCAAGAUGAUGCGCCCGUGUUUCCACUCGGUGCCCUGGUCCUCGCGGAUGACCCAGAGGAGCUUGCUCUCCUGGCUGGCUUCGCGCACCACCUGCAGCGCCACCCCGCGGCCGCCCGUGGCCUGGUACUGGAACUCCAUGCACACGGGGCUUCGGGGCAGGUGAAUGGGAGGGCUGAUGAGGCGCGCGAACUGGCCUUCUCUCCGGCCAUCACUCUGCAGCCGCAAGAAGUUCCUGUCAUCUGAGGGAAACAAACCCGGAAGUUCUAGGUCUGUGAAAGAAGUGUUGUUUCCUCCAUGUUUGCCAGAAGGGGAAUGGAAGCUCACAGAAUUGAGGCGACAUGUCCGAGACCACUGCUGGAGAGUGACUUACUACGUGAGCCCUCACCGCGAAUGAAAAAGGGUCACAAGAGCACCAAUAACCUGGAAAGACCACUCUUUGACUCGCAAGGAAGUAUGGUUUGGCCCCGAGGACAGUGAAGAUGCUCGCUGGAUUGGCGGGUCCAUCCAACCCCAGCAAGCAGCCAGCUACUACUUGGGCAUCAUGUGCUGUUUACCACAUGUCUUUCCUGUCAAGAUACAGUAGAUGCAAUAAAGUACAUGAUUCUGGAA